rnacentral:misc_RNA from 1 species
CCGAAAUUACAACACCGUGAGAUUUCUCAAGUUGCUCACAAAUCUUUCCCCGACGGACGACCCGGCCCUGACGAAUACGGCCGGGUACCCGAUCCGGGCUUCGACCUGGGCCUCGAACCCGCCCUGCACCCCAGCCCCGGUCCCGUACUCGUUGCCGCUCCACACGUGCCUCCACGCACCGGCGCCGGCCGGGAAGUAGGCGGUCACCGCGGUCCGCCCCUUGUCCAGGACCGGCACGACGAGCAUCUCCGUCCCGACAAGGAACUGCUGGUACGUGAGCGCCUGCACGCGCUCGUCCGCCGGGUAGUGCAGGAACAGGUGGCGCGCCACGGGGAGCCCCGUCCGCGCGGCCUCCCCGACGAGGCGCGCGCGGUAGAACUCCCAGGCCUUGUACAUCUUGGCGCAGCGCGCGAAGUGCGCCAGCGUGCGGCCGCUGGAGUAGAACUGGCAGUUGGAGCCCGGCCUGUUGCCCUCGUGGGUGCGGAGCACGACCGUGAAGGCGUUCACCUCCAUCCAGCGCAUCAGGAGCUCCUCGCUCCGGCGGUAGCGCAGGAACGGCGGCAGGUCCACCGUGCAGUAGCCGCCGGCGUCGCUGUGGUUGAGCGGGAACCCCGAGAGGCCGCCGCUGAGGAGGCCCACCACGCUGCUCUUGAUGCCGUCGUUCGCCUGCCAGCUCACCAUCUGGUCGCCCUCCCAGAACAGCAUCGCCCAGCGGGAGCUCUCCCGGAACCCCGACCGCACGAAGAACACCAGGCCGUCGUCGUCGUCGACGAUGUCGUCGCUCUCCGCCGCGGCACGGCGGCGGCUGGCUCUCCACUCGUCGGCGAUCUCGCGGUUGACGCGCGCCCACAGCUCCGGGUACCGGUUGUGCGCGGCGACGGAGUCCUCGCCCGAGUGCAGCCGCGCGUCCAGCGGCAGGCCCUCGCCGAAGUCGGCCAUCCAGCCGCUGACGCCGCGGUCCACCAUCCCCCGCAGGACGGUGCUCUUGAACCACGCGUGCGCUGCCGGGUUGGUGAGGUCGAGCAUGGCGACGUCGAACGCCGUGUUGGGCAUCAUGUACGGCUCGCCGGCGUCGUCCCUCACCAGGAUGCCCAGCUUCCUGGCUUCCUCGAACAGGUGCCUCUUCGCGCUGGGCUUCUCGUCCAUCUGAACAAGAACACAAUUAAAGCACGCGGGGGCGGCGGGGCACCUUCUCUGGC